CCAGCUCUCUCUCAAUCGGCAGAUCGGUGGUCGACUUGAUCUCCCGCCAUGGCUGUCCUGGCCCAAGCUCCGCUUCAAGUGGUUCAAAGAGAGAUGCUCCCCGUUCCGUACAACAAGUCAGCAGUAACACAGUGGUGGGUCCGCGUCGUCAGCGACUUAGUCUGUAUUCCCUGCGGUGAGAAAAGUUUUCACUCAGUCCUGCCUCAUCAGCGCCAGCCCAGCAUCCCUUGGUCCCGCAGCAUUUGCUUCUUCCCGGAUAGGAUCACGAAGUGGUGUGGUGAGAUAC